UAUAAAUGAUUAAACAGGACAUGCUCUUUUUUGUGUGCAGGAAUCUGUGGGCUGUAAAAGACAGCAUAGACUUUUGAUUGAAAUUAUUUGAAGAACUUGGUUUUAAUUUUGCUUUAUUGUAACGAAAUAGAGCAACUUUAGGUUGCUGAAAUUAAAACUUAGAGGGCUCAGACAAAAGAAAUCAAUCUACACAUAAAAUCAUUUUAUGAACUGCUUUAUCCAUUACCAACCUCAAGAUGGCUCUGUUCUCCUAACUAAGCAUGUACAGACAAAAAUGUUCAACAUUAAAUGUUAGGCUUUUUUAUCUUUGGAACAUUUUGUGUGUGUGUGUGUAGAGAGAGAGAGAGAGAGAGAGAGAGAUUGUUUGUUACAUGGUAAUUAAUCUGUUUAGCAGUGUUCUUCACUCCUGGUGUCUCCUCUGCACACAGCUCCAAGGAGCCCGUCUGUGUUACACCUGCGGGUCCUGAUACGUUUCGCUCCACUACAGCUGGACCAGCUGGACCAGCA